GAUUUGAACUCCUGGGUGCCAUGACUUAAAUCUACAAAAGUACCUACAACUCCGGAGGUGGUCUUACACGUUAGUACUUAUUCAUUCAUUGGAUGGCAGGAGCUUGAGCACAAAAAUCGAUAACGAAAACCAGAGUACGUCUUAGGACAAACUUACAUACAUAAUAAAACACAAAUUAUUAAUAUGCAGCAGUGCCACAUACUACACAUGAUCGAAGGGAAAACGCAAAGCCAGACGAUACAGAGCAUCAUGGACUCUAGCUAUAAACCAAAAGCAUACAUAAAAGCAGUAACACUUAUUUAAAACACAGCAACUUCACAUCGAUCAUCACAUAGUUGGAUAAUGGAUCUAGUAGGAGGGUGGUUUCUCAUUGUCCUUGUGACCAGCUUCCUCUGCCUUAGGGUGAUACCCAGGCAGCUUCUCCUUAAUCUUGUCCAGUAACCCCUUCUUCUCCUCCUCUGGAGCCAGCGGGUGAGCAGUCGCCACGUCAUUAUGAUGGUCAACCCCAUGACCAGCAGCAGCAGCAGCAGCAGAUUCCUCAGUCUUCUUCUCACCACCAGGAAGCUUAUCCUUGAUCUUGUCCAUCAAACCCUUCUUCUCUUCAGGCUGAUGAUGAGGACCGCCAAGAGGCCCUUCCUCCUUCUGCAGCUUCUUCUUCUUGUCCUUCUUCCUCCUGAUCUUCUCCCCUCCUUCCUCCACCUCUUCCU
rnacentral:lncRNA from 1 species